rnacentral:misc_RNA from 1 species
UGGACAACCCAACCAUCCUCUCUCUCUCUAUCCCUAUGCUCUCUCUCAUUGUCUCUUUCGUUCAUGUAAGCAACAAAAUUAUUAUUUUCUUCUCAAUUUGUCCUCCAUGUAUGCUGCUCUGCACCUUUGCAUUUACAUUGCAGAAGUUGAUGGUUUUGCUGGUUUGAAAGUUGAACACUUCCUUAUUUGGAAAAGCUAGUUGUUAUUUCUAUUUUAGGCCGGGUGGUAGUUUUCCUGUGCAAGCUGGGUCUUUAUUAAUUCCUUUUUUCCCCUUUCUUAAUCUCUUCAUUUGUUUUCUUGUUUUGGUUUCUCUUUCUCUUUCACCAUUGUUUUCAUUAGACACUUUAAAUAUAACAUAAAAAAUCAUCAGAUUUUCCUCUUAGCUGAGAACUACUGGAAGAUGUUGACAUUUCCCCGCAUUGCCAUGGGAACAGUCAUCUUUUUAAGUUUCGCUUUGGUUAUAUAUAUCACCUCCAAAAGUGAUCGCUGUGGCUUAUUAUAUCAAUUACAAUAACCAUAAGUUAGUUCUUGUUCAAUUUUAUCCAUUUUCUUUUGUUUAGAAAAAUAAUUGAGUUUCCCUUAAUCUUCUUAAGAAUGCAGAAGUGAUACCCGCCUCAAAAAGAUCUAGACAUAUAGCUACAAGCCCACGUUCGAAGAAAGCAAAAAUGGUGGAAUCUAACGUCAAGGCAAAUAUAAACCAGCCUUUAAGCAUGGACAUGGACCCACCUUUCCAUGAGAUCUACAAGACCCUUCUAGACAGCACCAUUGAAGAAUCAAGAACCAAGACUGGCAUCGUUGAGGAAUGUGAACUUCCUUUGAUCGAUCUUGGUCGUUUAAGCUUGGAUGAAUCUGAUGAGAAACACAAGUGCGAGGAAGAGAUAGCUAGGGCUUCGCAGGAGUGGGGAUUCUUUCAGGUUGUGAAUCAUGGGAUUUCAAGUGAGAUUUUGGAGAAGAUUAGAAGAGAACAAGUAAAGCUUUUUAAACAACCUUUCUAUAAAAAGAGCAAAGAAGACAAGUUCUUGAAUUUCUCUUCUGGAACCUAUCGCUGGGGAACUCCUACAGCAACUUGCCUCAGUCAGUUGUCAUGGUCUGAAGCUUUUCACAUUCCUAUGACUGAUAUAUCUGCUUCCAAUGGUUUCACUAAUCUCAGGUAAUUAAUUUCACAUAUAUUUAUCUUCUUAAAAAUUUUCUUUCAAAUAUUUUCCUCUCCGUUUUUAAAUGAUCUUAUAGAAAUUACAUUCAUAGAUAACCUACAGGGCUACAAUUAAUAGCUUCAGGAAAUGUUGAAGAUAUGGAACUAAUUAAUUUUAUAAAUUUUCAUGGGAUUCAUAAAUUCGGUUUAAUUCCAUAAGAAUUUAUUAUACUUCACUCAAUUUUUUUUUUUGUCAAACUUAGUGUCAUUAUUGGAUAGCUGUUCAUUGAAAUCAAGAUGAAUUGAAAUUUUGUGUUUUUCUAUGAACAAAUUGACAUAUAUAUGCCAUUAGAAGUUUGCAAAACAUUCUUCUUUUCGAUUUGAAUUAGACAGUGUAUCCUACUCUUUUUUAGGAUAAUGAAUUUGUCUACUAUGAAUAAGGAUGUGGGUAUUAUAAAUUCGACUUCAUAUGAUAACCAACUUAACAACUAUUAGAUCAAAUAUUUCAAUUUAAAUUCACUCAUUAUACAUAUUUUAAUUAAUUUUUAUAUAAAUCUUGAUAUAAAUAUUUAAUCUAACGAUUAAAAACUUGUAUUCAACGAGGUCGAGUUUAAAUUAGAGGCACCCUUUGAACAAUCAUUAUACCUAAGUAAAUUAUAUAGUUUUGUUUUCCCAUCAUCAUAUGUUAAUUAAAAGGCAUUUCCCAAAAUGAAAAGUCUCAUACAAUUUAUUU